GAUGAACGCUGGCGGCGUGCCUAAUACAUGCAAGUAGAACGCUGAAGGAGGAGCUUGCUCUUCUGGAUGAGUUGCGAACGGGUGAGUAACGCGUAGGUAACCUGCCUGGUAGCGGGGGAUAACUAUUGGAAACGAUAGCUAAUACCGCAUGACAACAGUUAUUGCAUGAUAACUGUUUAAAAGGGGCAACUGCUCCACUACCAGAUGGACCUGCGUUGUAUUGGCUAGUUGGUGAGGUAACGGCUCACCAAGGCGACGAUACAUAGCCGACCUGAGAGGGUGAUCGGCCACACUGGGACUGAGACACGGCCCAGACUCCUACGGGAGGCAGCAGUAGGGAAUCUUCGGCAAUGGACGGAAGUCUGACCGAGCAACGCCGCGUGAGUGAAGAAGGUUUUCGGAUCGUAAAGCUCUGUUGUAAGAGAAGAACGAGUGUGAGAGUGGAAAGUUCACACUGUGACGGUAUCUUACCAGAAAGGGACGGCUAACUACGUG
rnacentral:rRNA from 1 species